rnacentral:rRNA from 1 species
AGAGUUUGAUCAUGGCUCAGGAUGAACGCUAGCGGCAGGCUUAACACAUGCAAGUCGAGGGGUAUAGUUCUUCGGAACUAGAGACCGGCGCACGGGUGCGUAACGCGUAUGCAAUCUACCUUUCACAGAGGGAUAGCCCAGAGAAAUUUGGAUUAAUACCUCAUAGUAUAAUUGAAUGGCAUCAUUUAAUUAUUAAAGUCACAACGGUGAAAGAUGAGCAUGCGUCCCAUUAGCUUGUUGGUAAGGUAACGGCUUACCAAGGCAACGAUGGGUAGGGGUCCUGAGAGGGAGAUCCCCCACACUGGUACUGAGACACGGACCAGACUCCUACGGGAGGCAGCAGUGAGGAAUAUUGGUCAAUGGGCGCAAGCCUGAACCAGCCAUGCCGCGUGCAGGAUGAGGGUCCUAUGGAUUGUAAACUGCUUUUGUACAGGAAGAAACACUGGUUCGUGAACCAGCUUGACGGUACUGUAAGAAUAAGGAUCGGCUAACUCCGUGCCAGCAGCCGCGGUAAUACGGAGGAUCCAAGCGUUAUCCGGAAUCAUUGGGUUUAAAGGGUCCGUAGGCGGUCAGAUAAGUCAGUGGUGAAAGCCCAUCGCUCAACGGUGGAACGGCCAUUGAUACUGUCUGACUUGAAUUAUUAGGAAGUAACUAGAAUAUGUAGUGUAGCGGUGAAAUGCUUAGAGAUUACAUGGAAUACCAAUUGCGAAGGCAGGUUACUACUAAUGGAUUGACGCUGAUGGACGAAAGCGUGGGUAGCGAACAGGAUUAGAUACCCUGGUAGUCCACGCCGUAAACGAUGGAUACUAGCUGUUGGGAGCAAUCUCAGUGGCUAAGCGAAAGUGAUAAGUAUCCCACUUGGGGAGUACGUUCGCAAGAAUGAAACUCAAAGGAAUUGACGGGGGCCCGCACAAGCGGUGGAGCAUGUGGUUUAAUUCGAUGAUACGCGAGGAACCUUACCAAGGCUUAAAUGUAGAUUGACCGGUUUGGAAACAGAUCUUUCGCAAGACAAUUUACAAGGU